GACUGCAGUACUGUGAUCUGACCACAAGGCGGAACCCUGGGCACACAGGUGAGGGGAGCAAGUAAGUCGCCAUGGCAACAGUGCCCUUGCUGAAAUGUGGUUCAGAUGAGCUGCGAGAACUUCUGCCUGUGGCCACACCCACUAUCAGGACAUCCAGUGAAACUCCAGCCAAUCAGAGCACCAGGGAGAAAACGAACGUUCUGCAGUGCAAGUGUAGAUAUCGAGCGCAGUGAAUCAUCAGGACACAGCAAUGAAUGCUGAGAGGACAACACAUAGCAUGGAACAACACUUUGAUGUCAUCUGAGUGUUUCGGGAUUUGUGGAGUGAAGCAUGACGGUGGUGUGGAAAACCGUUUCUCACUCUGGUGGGAUUCUGGAACGCCAGGCCGGUAGCGC